rnacentral:rRNA from 1 species
CCUACGGGAGGCAGCAGUGAGGAAUAUUGGUCAAUGGACGAGAGUCUGAACAAGCCAAGUAGCGUGAAGGAUGACUGCCCUAUGGGUUGUAAACUUCUUUUAUAUGGGAAUAAAAUGUUCCACGUGUGGGAUUUUGUAUGUACCAUAUGAAUAAGGAUCGGCUAACUCCGUGCCAGCAGCCGCGGUAAUACGGAGGAUCCGAGCGUUAUCCGGAUUUAUUGGGUUUAAAGGGAGCGUAGGUGGAUUGUUAAGUCAGUUGUGAAAGUUUGCGGCUCAACCGUAAAAUUGCAGUUGAAACUGGCAGUCUUGAGUACAGUAGAGGUGGGCGGAAUUCGUGGUGUAGCGGUGAAAUGCAUAGAUAUCACGAAGAACUCCGAUUGCGAAGGCAGCUCACUGGACUGCAACUGACACUGAGGCUCGAAAGUGUGGGGAUCAAACAGGAUUAGAUACCCCUGUAGUC